UCCCUUGUAACUCAGUUGGUAAAGAACCUGCCUACAAUGCAGGAGACCCAGGUUCGAUUCCUGGUUUGGGAA
rnacentral:tRNA from 1 species